rnacentral:rRNA from 1 species
UACAGAGGUCUCAAGCGUUGUUCGGAUUCAUUGGGCGUAAAGGGUGCGUAGGCGGCGCGGUAAGUCGGGUGUGAAAUCUCGGAGCUUAACUCCGAAACUGCAUUCGAUACUGCCGUGCUUGAGGACUGGAGAGGAGACUGGAAUUUACGGUGUAGCGGUGAAAUGCGUAGAUAUCGUAAGGAAGACCAGUGGCGAAGGCGGUUUCCUGGAGCUAACUUGACGCUGAGACGCGAAAGCUGGGGGGAGCAAACGGGG